UUUGUCUAAUCCAAGACAUCACAACUUACCAAUUUAAAAUGUGCAGGAAUAAGAAGACAAUUUCUAGUCCACAUUUGAUGAGUGUGUUAUAAACCUUCUUUAAGAUGUGUCACUCAAGUCACAAUCUUGGAGUUCAAAUCUAAGAUUUGAUUUUGGAACGAAGUAUGAUUCAUCUUUUGAUUUAACCAUUCCAACAAUUUCCAAUUCGCCUUCUUAGCCAUACUAGUGCACUAAGGUGUCCUUAGAGGAUCAAUUGUGACAUGGUUUCAUAAUCACUAAGUUAAUCAUAAAAUACAAUACUUAAGUACUCUCCCUUCUUUUCAGAUUGGAGAAACUUUUAUCUUUCUGCAUAAUUGAUUCUUCUUGUUCAUUCUACUAUACAUGGAAACUUUUUCAAUGAUUCAGAAUUACACUUAAUCUUGUAAGCAUAACCAUAUUUACUAAGCUUUUAGCAAAUCAUAAAGAAUAUUCUUAUCGUUCUUUGUGGUGGACUUAACCUAAUGCACAACAAUGCGUACUAGAUCUCCUAGUCCUUCACUUGACUCACAUACUUAUGUGAACAAGGAAUUACUCUUAAUUUCCCAAAUACGAAGGUUCUCAUUCAUCAUACAUACUUAUUUGAAUAAGGAAUUAGUCUUAAUUUCACAAAUAGGAAGGUUCUCAUUCAUCAUACAAUAAAAGUCGCAUGAUUCCUGGUUUCUGUCAAAUUGAAACUUGGGUGAUGAGAAUCUUCGUUAUUUAUAAAUUUCUGACACUACCACAAAUAACAUAACUAAGAAUCACAUCCUUUUCA
rnacentral:lncRNA from 1 species